CCUACGGGUGGCAGCAGUGAGGACUAUUGGUCAAUGGACGGAAGUCUGCACCAGCCAUGCCGCGUGAAGGAAGACGGCUCUAUGAGUUGUAAACUGCUUUUGUACAAUGGUAAACCUGAAUACGGGUAUUCAGCUGAAAGUACUGUACGAAUAAGUAUCGGCUAACUCCGUGCACGCAGCCGCGGUAAUACGGAGGAUCCAAGCGUUAUCCUGAUUUAUUGGGGUUAAUGGGUGCGUAGGCGGAUUGAUAAGUUAGCGGUGAAAUGUCAGAGCUGAACUCGGGAACUGCCUCUAAUACUGUUGAGCUAGAGAGUAGAUGCGGUAGGCGGAAUGUAUGGUGUAGCGGUGAAAUGCUUAGAGAUCAUACAGAACACCGAUUGCGAAGGCAGCUUACCAAUCUAUAUCUGACGUUGAGGCACGAAAGCGUGGGGAGCAAACAGGAUUAGAUACCCCAGUAGUC
rnacentral:rRNA from 1 species